rnacentral:rRNA from 1 species
AUGAACGCUAGCUACAGGCUUAACACAUGCAAGUCGAGGGACAGCAUGGUCUUAGCUUGCUAAGGCCGAUGGCGACCGGCGCACGGGUGAGUAACACGUAUCCAACCUGCCGUCUACUCUUGGACAGCCUUCUGAAAGGAAGAUUAAUACAAGAUGGCAUCAUGAGUCCGCAUGUUCACAUGAUUAAAGGUAUUCCGGUAGACGAUGGGGAUGCGUUCCAUUAGAUAGUAGGCGGGGUAACGGCCCACCUAGUCUUCGAUGGAUAGGGGUUCUGAGAGGAAGGUCCCCCACAUUGGAACUGAGACACGGUCCAAACUCCUACGGGAGGCAGCAGUGAGGAAUAUUGGUCAAUGGGCGAGAGCCUGAACCAGCCAAGUAGCGUGAAGGAUGACUGCCCUAUGGGUUGUAAACUUCUUUUAUAAAGGAAUAAAGUCGGGUAUGGAUACCCGUUUGCAUGUACUUUAUGAAUAAGGAUCGGCUAACUCCGUGCCAGCAGCCGCGGUAAUACGGAGGAUCCGAGCGUUAUCCGGAUUUAUUGGGUUUAAAGGGAGCGUAGAUGGAUAUUUAAGUCAGUUGUGAAAGUUUGCGGCUCAACCGUAAAAUUGCAGUUGAUACUGGAUAUCUUGAGUGCAGUUGAGGCAGGCGGAAUUCGUGGUGUAGCGGUGAAAUGCUUAGAUAUCACGAAGAACUCCGAUUGCGAAGGCAGCCUGCUAAGCUGCAACUGACAUUGAGGCUCGAAAGUGUGGGUAUCAAACAGGAUUAGAUACCCUGGUAGUCCACACGGUAAACGAUGAAUACUCGCUGUUUGCGAUAUACUGCAAGCGGCCAAGCGAAAGCGUUAAGUAUUCCACCUGGGGAGUACGCCGGCAACGGUGAAACUCAAAGGAAUUGACGGGGGCCCGCACAAGCGGAGGAACAUGUGGUUUAAUUCGAUGAUACGCGAGGAACCUUACCCGGGCUUAAAUUGCAGAUGAAUUACGGUGAAAGCCGUAAGCCGCAAGGCAUCUGUGAAGGUGCUGCAUGGUUGUCGUCAGCUCGUGCCGUGAGGUGUCGGCUUAAGUGCCAUAACGAGCGCAACCCUUGUUGUCAGUUACUAACAGGUUCCGCUGAGGACUCUGACAAGACUGCCAUCGUAAGAUGUGAGGAAGGUGGGGAUGACGUCAAAUCAGCACGGCCCUUACGUCCGGGGCUACACACGUGUUACAAUGGGGGGUACAGAGGGCCGCUACCACGCGAGUGGAUGCCAAUCCCCAAAACCUCUCUCAGUUCGGACUGGAGUCUGCAACCCGACUCCACGAAGCUGGAUUCGCUAGUAAUCGCGCAUCAGCCACGGCGCGGUGAAUACGUUCCCGGGCCUUGUACACACCGCCCGUCAAGCCAUGGGAGCCGGGGGUACCUGAAGUGCGUAACCGCGAGGAGCGCCCUAGGGUAAAACUGGUGACUGGGGCU